UGCAGCUGAACUGGGCCGGCCUGCUGAGUGCCCAGCCUGAGGAAGCAGGCAAAGAGCCGGGCCCGGGGGCCAGACACCACAGUGGCCAGUGGGGUCAUCUUCACGCUGGGUCAGGCUGGAAAGGAGCAGACAAAGCUGUGCAUAAGAUGUAGGAGAACACAGAGAGACAUCUGUAUAAUUCCUUGCCGAAAAGGACACCUGAGACCUUGAUGGAACAGAAACAGUACAGAAGAAACCCACCUUCUGCAACCCAGACUUCAGAGCAAGAGGAGUGGAAGACACCACCAAGUUGGAUGUUGCUGUUCGGUAGCGAAGGAAGCUGUUUUUCAGGGAACGGACAGUUGUUACAUAUUAUCCACAAAAUGACAGAACACCAGCAAAACUCUUCACUUCCCAAAAGAGGGAAACCAUUUUUUCAUGGUCUUGACACUGUAUCUUAAACCUCCCUGGAAACGGUGAAACGAUAAUGAUCUAGAAGGAGGCCUGGCUGAGUUCCUGGUUUCCAGCCACCCCAUCCAACUUAACCUCGCCAUCCCCGUCCAGCCUAACACGCCGUGGUUUUUCUCUUGAAAGAGGGAGGGUUCACGCAAAUAUUUCCCUCAUUCAGCCAAGAAAGCUGGUUCUGUUUUAUUUCGGCAGCUAUGCAUAGCCUGUUUCUGGAUUCAGUAUUUAUAAAUACAAAGUCCUCU